CUUUGUGUUUUCAUGACAAUCACUCAAUUUUCUCUCUCCUCAUUUCUCAAUUCUCUCCACAUUUCUUCAUUUUCACUUUUAAUUUUAAUUUUGAAUUCAAUUUAUUGUUUUUACAAUUAAUUUAUUAUUAAUUUUUAUCUUUUGAUUCUCCAUUUUCACCCCACAUUUCUUCCUUUUCGCGUUUUGUUGGCAAAACCCAAUUUCUCCACCCACAAAAUCCCUAAAAUUCAUUCCAAAGUUUCGAUCUUUUCCCAUUUUUUGUAGGGAAUUUUAAUUAGGGUUUAUCAAUUUUGUACUCAAAUUCUGGAAUCUCAAUCUGGGUAUUCAUGGCUGAGCUCGAGGAAAUCGGCCAUGAUUAUGGUUCGGAUAUAGAAGUUGAUGAAUUAAGGUGUGGUAACAUUGCUGAGAAAGAUGUUAGUGAUGAAGAGAUUGAUCCAGAAGAACUCGAAAGACGAAUGUGGAAAGAUCGAAUUAAGCUUAAGCGGCUUAAGGAGAGAGAAAAGAUCGAGGCUCAAAGGGCUGCUGAAAAGCAAAAGCCAAAACAAACGAGUGAUCAAGCUCGGAGAAAGAAAAUGUCACGAGCACAAGACGGGAUUUUGAAGUACAUGUUGAAAUUAAUGGAGGUUUGCAAAGCGAGAGGUUUUGUGUAUGGGAUAAUUCCCGAGAAGGGAAAACCGGUUAGCGGUUCAUCGGAUAAUAUUAGAGCAUGGUGGAAAGAAAAGGUUAGGUUUGAUAAGAACGGUCCGGCUGCUAUAGCUAAGUAUGAAGCCGAGUGUUUGGCAAUGAGUGAAGGAAAUGGGAAUGGGAACGGGAAUGGAAUUGGCCAAAAUACCCUUCAAGAUUUGCAAGAUGCAACUCUCGGGUCGUUGUUGUCAUCGUUAAUGCAACAUUGUAAUCCUCCUCAAAGGAAAUUUCCUCUCGAAAAGGGCGUUCCUCCACCGUGGUGGCCUUCGGGAAAUGAAGAUUGGUGGGCUAAGUUGGGUUUACCAAAGGGUCAAAGCCCGCCGUAUAAGAAACCGCAUGAUUUGAAAAAGAUGUGGAAAGUUGGGGUUUUGACUGCUGUAAUCAAGCAUAUGUCACCUGAUAUUGCGAAGAUAAGACGGCUUGUAAGGCAAUCUAAAUGUUUACAAGAUAAGAUGACUGCUAAGGAGAGUUCGAUUUGGUUAGGGGUUUUAGGUCGAGAAGAAUCACUUAUCCGGCAGCCUAGCAGUGAUAAUGGAAACUCAGGUAUUACAGGAAGCCCGCCCGGCCCGCGUGGUGGUAAGAGGAAACCUAAUGCUAGUAGCGAUAGUGAUUAUGAUGUUGAUGGACUCGACGAAGGUGCAGGAUCCGUUUCCUCUAAAAUGGGUGAACCCGCGGGUGAACCUGUGGUCAAUAAACGCCUUUCUAUACGGAAUAAGAGCUCAGUUGAGAAACAAAGUAAGAGAAGAAGAAAAGCAAGCUCUAGUGAUCAGCAACCCAACCCGUCUACAGAUGGUAAACAGUUGGCAACUAAUGAUCAGCAACCUGCACCAUCUACAAAUGAGAAUUUGGUGGAUGAAACUGCCGGACCCGGACCCGGACCUGAACCCAGGCCCGGACCAGUCGUGGACCAUAAUAAUGCAGAUUUGAACGAUUUCCAGAUGCAUGAUAACCAACAGGAGAAUGACUCUAUAUUUAUUGAACCCUUGUUGUCUUUAGACAAUGAUAUUUUGGGGCAAUUUAGUCAUUUCCCUAAUGUCCGUCCUCCCCAAUUGUUGUCCGGACAUAACAUGUUUGUUGGAGGCCAAUCAUACCACCAUCCGAGUGUACAAGAUCCCGAGUUACAACACCGCGAUUCUUAUUACAAUCCAUCAAUUCAUCAAUACGGGCAAAGGCUUGAUGAACAUAGAUUGGAACAUAAUACCAUAAGUAGUGAGCCCCAAACAAGACAAGAAGGUGUUGGAAUGCAUCUUCCAUCACUUAACACAGCUGAAAAUGAUAUCAAUGGAGGUCACUUGCACCAUUAUGGUGUUGUUGAUGCAUUCCAGGACAAGAAUAGACCGUUUGACAGUCAUCUUGGUUCUUCCUUUAACGGCGGACUUUCUAUAGAUUUUGAUUUAUUUGAUAAUACUUUCCCUGAAAUCGAGGGCUUUGGUUUAGAAGAUGAUUACUUAGCUGGUGAUGACCUUGACAUCUUGCAAUAUUGUGGAGCUUAGAAUGGUGCACUGGUUUUUUUGGCAGCUUAAAAAUGGUAUUGCUCUAGGGGGGAAGUUGAAAUAGAGAUGAAGUUUGAGCGCGUGACCUGUAUAGUUGUCAACAUGAAAAGUCCUUAUAGGUUUAAAUCCACCUGCAUCCCACAACUUCAUGCCAGACCGUGCUUUUUUCGUGCCGGGUUGCGUCUCGGGCCGGUCCACAAUCAUCUUUCCAACAUGGCAUGUAAAAAACAUGUUGUUUCUGUAAUUUCGAUGUAUUCGUCACGAGACCGGUUUAAUCUAACUCCGGUCCAGCUAAGAAGAUCAUGUCAAAAAUUGAGCUUAGAAGAUCAUCUAACAAGGCUUUUUUUUAU